rnacentral:tRNA from 2 species
GCACCCGUAGCUCAGUUGGAUAGAGUAUCAGUUUCCGAAACUGAGGGUCACAGGUUCGAUUCCUGUCGGGUGCGCCA